rnacentral:misc_RNA from 1 species
AUAUAAUAGUAUGCUUGGUUUGCCAGUGAUAGGUUAUUAUGGUGAGUCCAUACUGGACUGAAAUCACUGAACCACUCGCAAGAGUCCAAUGGUACACCGAUGAUCUUCUCCUCGAAUAGAUCAUACUUGUUCAAGAUUAAAACGAAUGGGGUUUCUUUGAAACAGGGAUGUCUUACCAUUGUUUCAAAGAGUUCUUUGAUAUGCAUCAUCUUGUUCUGAAGUAGUGUACCGCUACCACAGUCCUCCUGAGUAAGCCACAUCUGAUCAUAGUCACUCAGGGCUGCACAAAAUACUACAACACGAACAUCUUCAAACAUCUCUACCCACUUGCACCCUUCAUUCAUCCCUUUGGCACUUACCCUUAUAAGUUGGUAUCUAGUGAGAGGUGGGGGUGGAGCUUCAAGAUUAUCUGUGUAGGUCUCAGACAUUGGACUCCGAUCAUCAAGGGAAAAU